rnacentral:rRNA from 1 species
UAAUACGUAGGGGUCGAGCGUUGUCCGGAGUUACUGGGCGUAAAGCGCAUGCAGGCGGCUCAUUACGCAUGGCGUGAAAGCCCCCGGCUUAACCGGGGAGGGUCGUCGUGAACGGGUGAGCUUGAGGAUAUCAGGGGCUGGUGGAAUUCCCGGUGUAGUGGUGAAAUGCGUAGAUAUCGGGAGGAACACCUGUGGCGAAGGCGGCCAGCUGGGAUAUACCUGACGCUGAGAUGCGAAGGCGUGGGGAGCGAACGGGAUUAGAUACCCCGGUAGUCCACGCAGUAAACGAUGCAGACUAGGCGUGGGAGGACUUGACCCCUUCCGUGCCGGAGCUAACGCGAUAAGUCUGCCGCCUGGGGAGUACGGUCGCAAGACUAAAACUUAAAUGAAUUGACGG